rnacentral:rRNA from 1 species
UACGGGAGGCAGCAGUGGGGAAUAUUGCACAAUGGGCGCAAGCCUGAUGCAGCCAUGCCGCGUGUAUGAAGAAGGCCUUCGGGUUGUAAAGUACUUUCAGCGGGGAGGAAGGCGGUGGAGUUAAUAGCUUCACCGAUUGACGUUACCCGCAGAAGAAGCACCGGCUAACUCCGUGCCAGCAGCCGCGGUAAUACGGAGGGUGCAAGCGUUAAUCGGAAUUACUGGGCGUAAAGCGCACGCAGGCGGUCUGUCAAGUCGGAUGUGAAAUCCCCGGGCUUAACCUGGGAACUGCAUUCGAAACUGGCAGGCUAGAGUCUUGUAGAGGGGGUAGAAUUCCAGGUGUAGCGGUGAAAUGCGUAGAGAUCUGGAGGAAUACCGGUGGCGAAGGCGGCCCCUGGGACAAAGCUGACGCUCAGGGUGCGAAAGCGUGGGGAGCAAACGAGGAUUAGGAUACC